rnacentral:rRNA from 1 species
GAUGAACGCUGGCGGCGUGCUUAACACAUGCAAGUCGAACGGAAAGGCCGAAGCUUGCUUCGGUACUCGAGUGGCGAACGGGUGAGUAACACGUGGGUGAUCUGCCCUGUACUUCGGGAUAAGCUUGGGAAACUGGGUCUAAUACCGGAUAUGACGAUCCCUUGGAUGGGGUUGUGGAAAGCUUUUGCGGUAUGGGAUGAGCUCGCGGCCUAUCAGCUUGUUGGUGGGGUAAUGGCCUACCAAGGCGUCGACGGGUAGCCGGCCUGAGAGGGUGUACGGCCACAUUGGGACUGAGAUACGGCCCAGACUCCUACGGGAGGCAGCAGUGGGGAAUAUUGCACAAUGGGCGCAAGCCUGAUGCAGCGACGCCGCGUGGGGGAUGACGGCCUUCGGGUUGUAAACUCCUUUCGCAAUCGACGAAGCCUUUUGGUGACGGUAGGUUGAGAAGAAGCACCGGCUAACUACGUG